AUCUCUUCAGAGCCUUUUGGCUAAGAUCAACUGUAGUAUCUGUUCUUAUCAGUUACUCCUUGACUAGCAAGUGUGGUUCUCCUGUUCAGAUUCACUUGUGUUUAUACUGCCCACCAUCGAGUUUCACCCAU
rnacentral:snRNA from 1 species